AACGAGCGCUGGCGGCAGGCUUAACACAUGCAAGUCGAACGCAUCCUUCGGGGUGAGUGGCAGACGGGUGAGUAACGCGUGGGAACGUGCCCUUCAGUUCGGGAUAACCCAGGGAAACUUGGGCUAAUACCGGUUACGUGCGAGAGCAGAAAGAUUUAUCGCUGAAGGAUCGGCCCGCGUCUGGUUAGCUAGUUGGUGGGGUAAUGGCCCACCAAGGCGACGAUCAGUAGCUGGUCUGAGAGGAUGAUCAGCCACAUUGGGACUGAGACACGGCACAAACUCCUACGGGAGGCAGCAGUGGGGAAUAUUGGACAAGGGGCGCAAGCCUGAUCCAGCCAUGCCGCGUGAGUGAUGAAGGCCUUAGGGUUGUAAAGCUCUUUCGUCCGGGACGAUAAUGACGGUACCGGAAGAAGAAGCCCCGGCUAACUUCGUGCCAGCCGCCGCAGUAACAC
rnacentral:rRNA from 1 species